AACCAAAUUCAAAUCAAAUCAAGUUUCAACCAAAUUCUCAUUCAUUCAUUAAUAUCAUACAUUCAAAAAUCAUAUUCAACCAUGCAUUCAUAUCUAGGCCAUUACAUAACCAUGAACCAAAUUGCAACAUACAUAUUUCCAUAAACCAUGACAUUGCACAACCAUUACAACAUGUCCAAACUCAUUUUCAUACAUACGUUCGAUUAAUCAUUUAACUCCAAAACAAUUAUCCAAAGACAUAUCCAAAUCCAAGAAAUCCUAAGCCAUCCAAAUAGAAGUCAUUUCUAAUUAACAUUGCUACCAUUCAAAUUACCAAGUUUUAGUAAGACAUUCACAUGAACACCAAAAUUCUGCAUGAUAC
rnacentral:lncRNA from 1 species